UAGGCUACAAUAUGCACUUAUUUAAUCAAACGCUAACCUGGGUGCUGCUGUGAAGGUAUUUUUGUAGAUGUGGUUAACAUCUAUAUUCUGUUGACUUUAAGUGAAGAAGUUACCCCUCGAUAAUGUAGGUGGGCUUCAUCCAAUCAGUUGAAAGCCUUCAGAGCAAAAACUGAGGCUUCCUGGAGAAGAAGAAAUUCUGCCUUAAAUCUACAGCUUCUAACCUGCCAACCUGCACUGCAGAUUUCAGACUCGCCAAAUACUGCAAUCAGGUCUUGUUUGGAUAUUUGGGGCUCCUUGCAAUUCCAUAUAUCUUAGGAUCAGCAUUUCUAUUUCUGCAAGAGAAACUGGGAUAUUGAUAGAGAUCACACUGAUUCUGUACAGCACUUUGUGUUUGGAGAGAUGUCUUCCAUGUGGCCAAUCAGCCCUGGUAGAGUUCCAAGUGAGGCAAAAAACAUAAUGGUGUGUGUAUGGGGAAGAAGGAUUCCUUUGCACAAGUUCUCCAGAGAAACUCCAGCCAGGCCAAACAAGCAAGCACAGUUCCUCAGGAACAAGAUCUUCUCUUGCUCGCCCUGAGACUGAUUUCCAUCCUGAGAAUGUGUGCUGCUGCCUUUAAGACCACUGCGCUGCCACACUGAGAGAAUGAAGGGGCCAAGUAAUCUGGUUCUGAGGCUUGGAGAAAUAAGGGAAAUUAAAGGAGGAGAUGCUGGGCUUGUUUGUGAUCACAAAGCCACAGGACCAUCUCCCCGUUUUGAUAAAUAAUAAAACUGAGUUUCAGAGAGCUUAUCUGACUUUCCACAGUACAUAUUCAGAUAUGAUUCUCUUCAAAGCAUUGUAAAGCAACUAUAGUUCAAUAAACAUUAAUUUUAAAAAGUAAAAAUUCAUUUUGCAUUGUUGCAAAGAUCAUAUAAAAAAACACACAAUUCUCUUGAAUUCGAGUCCAUGGAUCUUCUCAUUUUGCCCAUGUGCAAAAACAUUAAAAAUAAAUAAAAGCAAACAGGAUGCACCUUUCCAGAUGCUCAACUGUGUUAUUCUUUUGUUUCUUCCUUGAUUCACCCACCAUUGAAUGAAUCCCUUUAUAUAUUCAUCAAAUAUUUGUAACACACUGCAAUAAGUAGGCCAUGCUGUAUAUAUAU